AGCGUACACGGUGGAUGCCCUGGCAGUCAGAGGCGAUGAAGGACGUGCUAAUCUGCGAUAAGCGUCGGUGAGGUGAUAUGAACCGUUAUAACCGGCGAUUUCCGAAUGGGGAAACCCAGUGUGUUUCGACACACUAUCAUUAACUGAAUCCAUAGGUUAAUGAGGCGAACCGGGGGAACUGAAACAUCUAAGUACCCCGAGGAAAAGAAAUCAACCGAGAUUCCCCCAGUAGCGGCGAGCGAACGGGGAGGAGCCCAGAGCCUGAAUCAGUGUGUGUGUUAGUGGAAGCGUCUGGAAAGGCGUGCGAUACAGGGUGACAGCCCCGUACACAAAAAUGCACAUAUUGUGAGCUCGAUGAGUAGGGCGGGACACGUGGUAUCCUGUCUGAAUAUGGGGGGACCAUCCUCCAAGGCUAAAUACUCCUGACUGACCGAUAGUGAACCAGUACCGUGAGGGAAAGGCGAAAAGAACCCCGGCGAGGGGAGUGAAAAAGAACCUGAAACCGUGUACGUACAAGCAGUGGGAGCCUCUUAAUGGGGUGACUGCGUACCUUUUGUAUAAUGGGUCAGCGACUUAUAUUCUGUAGCAAGGUUAACCGAAUAGGGGAGCCGAAGGGAAACCGAGUCUUAACUGGGCGUUAAGUUGCAGGGUAUAGACCCGAAACCCGGUGAUCUAGCCAUGGGCAGGUUGAAGGUUGGGUAACACUAACUGGAGGACCGAACCGACUAAUGUUGAAAAAUUAGCGGAUGACUUGUGGCUGGGGGUGAAAGGCCAAUCAAACCGGGAGAUAGCUGGUUCUCCCCGAAAGCUAUUUAGGUAGCGCCUCGUGAAUUCAUCUCCGGGGGUAGAGCACUGUUUCGGCAAGGGGGUCAUCCCGACUUACCAACCCGAUGCAAACUGCGAAUACCGGAGAAUGUUAUCACGGGAGACACACGGCGGGUGCUAACGUCCGUCGUGAAGAGGGAAACAACCCAGACCGCCAGCUAAGGUCCCAAAGUCAUGGUUAAGUGGGAAACGAUGUGGGAAGGCCCAGACAGCCAGGAUGUUGGCUUAGAAGCAGCCAUCAUUUAAAGAAAGCGUAAUAGCUCACUGGUCGAGUCGGCCUGCGCGGAAGAUGUAACGGGGCUAAACCAUGCACCGAAGCUGCGGCAGCGACACUAUGUGUUGUUGGGUAGGGGAGCGACACUAUGUGUUGUUGGGUAGGGGAGCGUUCUGUAAGCCUGUGAAGGUGGCCUGUGAGGGUUGCUGGAGGUAUCAGAAGUGCGAAUGCUGACAUAAGUAACGAUAAAGCGGGUGAAAAGCCCGCUCGCCGGAAGACCAAGGGUUCCUGUCCAACGUUAAUCGGGGCAGGGUGAGUCGACCCCUAAGGCGAGGCCGAAAGGCGUAGUCGAUGGGAAACAGGUUAAUAUUCCUGUACUUGGUGUUACUGCGAAGGGGGGACGGAGAAGGCUAUGUUGGCCGGGCGACGGUUGUCCCGGUUUAAGCGUGUAGGCUGGUUUUCCAGGCAAAUCCGGAAAACCAAGGCUGAGGCGUGAUGACGAGGCACUACGGUGCUGAAGCGACAAAUGCCCUGCUUCCAGGAAAAGCCUCUAAGCAUCAGGUAACAUCAAAUCGUACCCCAAACCGACACAGGUGGUCAGGUAGAGAAUACCAAGGCGCUUGAGAGAACUCGGGUGAAGGAACUAGGCAAAAUGGUGCCGUAACUUCGGGAGAAGGCACGCUGAUAUGUAGGUGAAGCGACUUGCUCGUGGAGCUGAAAUCAGUCGAAGAUACCAGCUGGCUGCAACUGUUUAUUAAAAACACAGCACUGUGCAAACACGAAAGUGGACGUAUACGGUGUGACGCCUGCCCGGUGCCGGAAGGUUAAUUGAUGGGGUUAGCGGCAACGCGAAGCUCUUGAUCGAAGCCCCGGUAAACGGCGGCCGUAACUAUAACGGUCCUAAGGUAGCGAAAUUCCUUGUCGGGUAAGUUCCGACCUGCACGAAUGGCGUAAUGAUGGCCAGGCUGUCUCCACCCGAGACUCAGUGAAAUUGAACUCGCUGUGAAGAUGCAGUGUACCCGCGGCAAGACGGAAAGACCCCGUGAACCUUUACUAUAGCUUGACACUGAACAUUGAGCCUUGAUGUGUAGGAUAGGUGGGAGGCUUUGAAGUGUGGACGCCAGUCUGCAUGGAGCCGACCUUGAAAUACCACCCUUUAAUGUUUGAUGUUCUAACGUUGGCCCGUAAUCCGGGUUGCGGACAGUGUCUGGUGGGUAGUUUGACUGGGGCGGUCUCCUCCUAAAGAGUAACGGAGGAGCACGAAGGUUGGCUAAUCCUGGUCGGACAUCAGGAGGUUAGUGCAAUGGCAUAAGCCAGCUUGACUGCGAGCGUGACGGCGCGAGCAGGUGCGAAAGCAGGUCAUAGUGAUCCGGUGGUUCUGAAUGGAAGGGCCAUCGCUCAACGGAUAAAAGGUACUCCGGGGAUAACAGGCUGAUACCGCCCAAGAGUUCAUAUCGACGGCGGUGUUUGGCACCUCGAUGUCGGCUCAUCACAUCCUGGGGCUGAAGUAGGUCCCAAGGGUAUGGCUGUUCGCCAUUUAAAGUGGUACGCGAGCUGGGUUUAGAACGUCGUGAGACAGUUCGGUCCCUAUCUGCCGUGGGCGCUGGAGAACUGAGGGGGGCUGCUCCUAGUACGAGAGGACCGGAGUGGACGCAUCACUGGUGUUCGGGUUGUCAUGCCAAUGGCACUGCCCGGUAGCUAAAUGCGGAAGAGAUAAGUGCUGAAAGCAUCUAAGCACGAAACUUGCCCCGAGAUGAGUUCUCCCUGAAGAAGAGCCUUUCU
rnacentral:rRNA from 1 species